GAUUCACGCUAGCAAACAUAACGUUAGCGUUGAGGCAUAAAAGCCAAAAUGAUUGAUGUUUGAAAUGUUUACAAGGUUUCUGUAAUAGGACAGAUAAAGGAUUGGAUUUAUGAUGCAAUGAAAACUUAUGUACAGUAUAAUGAUUCGGAGAGAUCAAAAUUUACGCAACGCCGAAUGGUUCAAGAAAAGGAAUUCAAUAUUAAGUUCCCGUGUUUGAAUACUCCGUCGUCUGUACCGUCGUCGUUAAAGAAUUAUAGACCAGUCGCUCUAACAUCACUUUUCUGUAAGUUACUGGAGGGUUUGGUAACCGAAGAUCUAAACGCCCAUCUAAACGAAUUUGGUCUCUCUACGAUAAGCAACAUGGAUUUACUACGCUACUUUCCGAGACAGCUACCUCUUGGACUCUCGCAGUCGAUAAAGAUGCAUCUCGCAUAGAUGUUGUGUCAUUUGAUUAUUCUCGUGCAUUCGACUCGAUUUCGCACAGAAUCCUGUGCGCUAAACUGGAGCAUACAUAUGGAAUCAGUGGCAAUGUGCUAAAAUGGUUGAAAUCCUUUGUUAGCGACAGAAAGCCGCGAGUGGUAUUCCUGGGUAAAUGUUCGCCUUGCACAACUGUACUAUGUGGUAUACCACAAGGAUCAUUUCUUGGACCGUUGUUGUUUACUGUCUAUGUAAACGAACUUCGUUCUGUAGGAACUGUGCUACGCUUGUACUUCUUAAACUGUAUUCAUCAUUAGUGUUGCCUCACAUUCAUUAUUGUUGUAAUGUAUAGCAUCCCUAUAGGAAGGAGAACAUAAACAAAAUUGAAUUGAUUUAGCGUCGCGCUACCAGAUUCAUCUUGCAUCAAAA